rnacentral:lncRNA from 1 species
CCCGCCUGCACCCAGGUGAUUAAAAAGCUUUAUUGCUCAUACAAAGUCUGUUUGGUGGUCUCUUCACACGAACGCGCGUGACAGUCUUAAUAUGAGAUGAUACUGGGUUAUACAGGUGGGCAAAGAGGGCCAAACAAAACAAAACAGAACAAAUCAAAAACAAGGAAACAUGAAGAUAGAAACAGGUUGGAGUGACUGUCCUUGAAAGCAGAAGUAGCUACACUCCAGGGAAUGCAAGUGGCCUCUUGAAGGUGGAAACGGCAAAGAAAAGGAUUCUCUCCUGAAGCCCCCAUGAGAAAGCGGCCCUGCCAGCACUGUCAGACUUCUGACCUCCAGAACUUGCCUGUGCAUAGUAGAUGCUCAACUUGUUGAAGAAUCCUGUAAAAUAGAUGGCAUGCUCACGCUGCAAAUGAGGAAAUGGGCUCAAAAGGCCUUGGUUAAACAUCGUGACUGAGACCACACAGCUGGGAAGUGAUUGCCUUGCAAUGGUUGAAGGCUGAAGGGAGUCUUUGGAUCUCUGGAGUCCAGGUGAUAAAAGGGAAUAGCUGAUACACAAAUCCAAAUAUGACUUCACGGCCCAGGCCUUUCCUCUUCCUUCACCAUUGUGCCAUGCCACAUCUCGUUUGAAAAUCAAAAGAUGUCUUUUUUUGAAGAGAAAUAAGCAUCCCUUGC